rnacentral:rRNA from 1 species
AAAGUCUAAACGACUCUCGGCAACGGAUAUCUCGGCUCUCGCAUCGAUGAAGAACGUAGCGAAAUGCGAUACUUGGUGUGAAUUGCAGAAUCCCGUGAACCAUCGAGUCUUUGAACGCAAGUUGCGCCCGAAACCAUUUGGUUGAGGGCACGUCUGCCUGGGCGUC